GGAAGUGCAACAAGGCUGCAAGCACGUGAGAAUAAGACAAGAAACGGCGUCUGGGACCGGAGAAGUUAUUUAUUUUGCUGCUUCUGAUUCUUUCGCUCGUGAUGGAAAUAAGGGGAAGAAAGACCCUAUUCCGGCCAUCUAGGUUGCGGACAAAAGGGAAGGGAGGAAGGAAGCGAGAAUACUUUUUCUAAGGGUACCCUGAAAAAAGGAGGAGGAGGAGGAGGAGGAGGAAAAGUCAACCUGCUUUGAAGACAAUGACAUCUACUUUCAUACUGUUGCUAAGAAAACUCCAAGGAAGUAUCCAUGUAGUCACCAUGAGUCAGGAGUCAAGUCCAGAAACUACUUAUUUGAGGUGUAUACAAUAUCUAUCUAGGACAGCCAUGAGAAAACCAGCACUUCUCAUCGAAAAACAUACCUUUAUGGGGGCAUGGAGAACAAUUAGUAAAGUAAAACAUUCAAAGAA